AUUUUUUUCCCCUUUUCUAAUAACACUCUCUGCCAACACACAAGGACACUACACUCCACUCACCUACACCUCUCUACUGCACAAUCCUCCUUCUUCUCUCUAACCACCAAGGAAGUCCAGAUUUCCAAAUUCAGUUCCUAAACCUUGUUUUCAUUCUUUCAGCAACAGCAACAUCACCAGAGAUCACCACAGAACCCCCUCCCCAAGCUGUUCGAGCCAUCCUUACGCCUCCUUAAGUGUUGAAGUGGUACCAUUCUUCUAUUGAGAGCUAAUCUUGCUUGGGCUUUGUUGUGGGAAGAACUGAAACCUGAUGGAGACGCUUCCUCAUGAGCAGAAGUUGGAGAUUGGCAAGGAGUGCCACUAUAGUUAGACCUUUACUGUUUUAUUUGGAGGUUUUGGGUGUAGUGUAGGAUCCCCUCUAUCCACUCUUAUCUAAUGUAUAUGAGUUCUUAGAUGUUUAAGUGUGGAGGACUGUACUAGAGAUGUUUAUUCCACGCGUGUUUUGUUUGCUCUUACUAUCUGCUG